rnacentral:rRNA from 1 species
UACGUAGGGGGCAAGCGUUGUCCGGAUUUAUUGGGCGUAAAGAGCGUGUAGGCGGCUAGGCAGGUCCGUUGUGAAAACUCGAGGCUCAACCUCGAGACGCCGGUGGAAACCAUCUAGCUAGAGUCCGGAAGAGGAGAGUGGAAUUUCUGGUGUAGCGGUGAAAUGCGCAGAUAUCAGGAAGAACACCCGUGGCGAAGGCGGCUCUCUGGGACGUGACUGACGCUGAGACGCGAAAGCGUGGGGAGCGAACAGG